rnacentral:rRNA from 1 species
GGAGGGUGCAAACGUUGUUCGGAAUUAUUGGGCGUAAAGAGCGUGUAGGCGGUUCGUCAAGUCUGAUGUGAAAGCCCGGGGCUCAACCCCGGAAGUGCAUUGGAAACUGGCGAACUUGAGUACGGGAGAGGAAAGUGGAAUUUCGAGUGUAGGGGUGAAAUCCGUAGAUAUUCGAAGGAACACCGGUGGCGAAGGCGGCUUUCUGGACCGAUACUGACGCUGAGAUGCGAAAGCGUGGGGAGCAAACAGGAUUAGAUACCCUGGGUAGUCCACGCCCUAAACGAUGGGUAUAGGUGUUGCGGGUAUUGACCCCCUGCAGUGCCAAAGCUAACGCAUUAAGUGCCCCGCCUGGGGAGUACGGCCGCAAGGCUA